GUUGGUCCUGUGGUCAGAAAGUCUACACACUUACCGUACUAAACCCAGCAGUUAACAGAUGAGUUGAACCAGGUGCGAGCCGCAGUGAAGUGAUCUGGGUGUGAUGUGAUUGGUCAGUCAGCGAGUGUCUCUGAGUGCUUGGCAGUGCUGGCGAUCUGAGGAACUGCUUCCUGAUGAGGAUCUUGUGCCUGGACUCCAGCAAGCGCUGGAAAGCUCCCUCCUUCCUCUGUGAUGGCAGAAGAGCACAUAGUUCAUGCCUCCAUUGCUGGACCAGAAGGUUCCGUUUUUGGACUCAUAGCGGAGGCAGAACUCCACUCGAGUGCCCUCCGCCGGGAAGGGGGGCACCAGGAUGAGCUUAAAGGUGAAGCGGUCUGUCUGUCCAUCGCUGGAGCCAGGCAGGUAUUCGGCUAGCAGGUCAAAGUGGCUUUGCCAGCCAUCUAGCGUGGUUCUAACGUAGAUGGUCUUGUGGUAGGCCAGGUUGAGCACGCGGACGAUGCCCCGGAUGGUGGUGGAACCGGGCAGGAGCUCAAUGCUCUCCACCUCCAGCUUGGUCUGCUGAAGUAAGGAUAAAAGCUCCUCUUCUGAGGACGGCACAGUGAAGAGACAGGAUAUGUAAUACUCCUCUCCUGUCUUAGGCCCAGUUUCAGAUCUGCUGUCAAACUCUUUGACCUUCACCAGGUCCAGGCCGAAGGCAUCUGCGAAAGAAACCUUGCGCCGCACCGCUGAGGCUGAUGGAGGCUCAGCUUCAGACUCCUCAGAUUCAUCGCUGGAACUUCUUUCAGGCUCUUUUGUCUCCUCAUAAUGCUAAGUGGUAUUAAUACAAUUCAAUAUCAUGAUCUUUACCAGAUACAUCACAGUCUUACAGGUCUUUCAUAAAAUUAAAAGUUUCAAAAUUUAAGUUUAAAUAAUAAAGAUGAGUCUGGAUCAAAAUCUU